UCUUUAGCAAAGAGACUAAACACAACUCACCUACUCUCUUCCAGCAGCCGCUUGUUUGUAACGAGACCUCAGGCCAGUCCAUUACGGACUACAGUUGAGUGACGCAUCUCAAGGAAGAACAUUAAUGAUCAUUUCUUUAUCAUUUCCUUGAAGUAAUAUUCAUCAUAUUAAUCAUUUUGCUUUAACACCAAUUCCUCACUUUGCAUCUGAACCCACAUCUCCUCCAUCUCGUCACCUCGUCUCAGCAAACAAUUUGAAUAGUCUGGCGCUCCUGAAACUUUCAUACCAUAUGGUCUAGUUUCAAAGCUUUUCACACGGCCCACAGCCUUCCAUUCCCCUCAAUCAAAGUAAUAGCUUUAGCUAGCUUCAUCACUUAUGCCCAUUCAUCCCUUAAAAUCAGAACAUCUACCAUCAAAGUAUCCCUCAACAGUAUUAGCUUCUUUGUUAGACCCAUUUUGGUCCAUUUUGCACCUUCAGGUUAUCACGUUCAAAAGGCCUCAAAAAAGCUGAACCUCAUCCUGUUCCAAAACGUCUUCCCCUGACAGCCGACUUCCUAACCCCUUGCAUCCAAAUUCUUUGCACAGCAUACAUAUCCCCUUCCCCAAACUCAACCCUCUAAACCAUGUUACUUUCAGCCUUUGUCUUUUUGAGAUAUUCCCAGUUCACCUCAACAUCUUCCACCUAUGACCCUUCUUGGCUUGCUCGUCUCUCUGGCGUUUCCUUCCACAUCAACAGAUUUAACUUCAAAUAUAGAAAAACAGAUCACCUCAACCUUUCUCAGUCCAUAUUCCUCUUCAAACUAAACUUCUCUCUAAGCCCCUUUGACCUCAUAGUUACAUGAAAACUGUAGACUUCAUUGUCAAGCAUCCUCACACUAUUCUCUCUUUUCUACCAAAACAGGUCCAGUGGCGACACGCUUGUGGUUCUACCUCCACAUCCGCCAAUCUCUCCUAAAAUCGGGUAUCUCCCCAGGCCAUUCUUUUCGUACAGGAAUCACUACACCUGCUCCUAGACAAUGAAUCCUGGGAGGACCAGGCUUUCAAGGGUUAAAUCUGCAGCCACACCAGUGACACCAAAAGAACCCUUAUCCGUUCAGUCAAAUAAAGUUCUUUCAGAGACAUGGAACCAAAAGAGUGUAAAGACGUGCCCCCACUCAGGGUCUUGGCACCUCCAUUCCUCACGAUUCGGUUACCUCACAUCUGUUCAUCCCGCUCUCCCUAACCCUAACCCCCAAUUUCCACUACAUGCGGAACAGCUACGAAAAGGCUGUAUCCGCCGAUCGCAGCUGAUCGUAACCAUUCAAGUUGAUGUGUCAAUUUUCACUACGAUCGCACAAGUUCUAAUUUUCUUGACGCCAGAGCAUGCCGGAUAAAUUCAGCACAAAUUUACCCGUGCUGGAAAGGAAGUCAGGCACAGACACAAAAUAAAACAUCCGGCUUCUUUUCAAAAUAAAUCACUCCGUGUUUCAGGUGGAUCGUAUUUCAAACCAUGCAAACGUUGGGGAAGAACAAGUGAAAGGUUUUCAGACGUCAUUUCAUCCUGAUGACACCAUGGAUGAGAAGAUGCUGAUUUUAGAAGUCUAGAAGUCGAUUUCCUCCUCUGAACGGACACAAUCUACUGCUUAUAUGGUUAGCCUAUGUGGCUAGGGACAACUUGUUAUUGCACCAUUGCAAGUGAAUCCGUGGGUUCUUGUGAGGUCUUGCGAUUCUUGCUGUCCAUAAUCUGCCACGCAAUUCACCUCACAAACGGUAGGAAUUGGCGGAUGGCUAAAAUUGACACAGUUCCAGAUCGGAGCAAAUGCUGUGGAAAUUGGGGGUAAUUCCCACCUCCAUACCUACCUUUCUCACACAACCCUUUCCUCCUGACCCACGAUUUUGUUUAAAUCAAGUAUUUUCAAACAGUACGUUGACUUGGUUUCUCUUGUGAGUGACGAAUUUUAUAAAUUAUGUAACAAGCAUUCAGUUUCGUGGUAUCUUCCCAAACGUAACUUCA